rnacentral:misc_RNA from 1 species
UUUAAAACAUGCCCAGUUGAGAGCUCAAUAAUUCCUCAACUUCUUAUGGACCGAAAAGCAUAUUUCAAAUAUAAUACAGUAUUCCUCAUUACAAUUUCCAAAUCUUAAACUUUGCACACUGAAAGGUGUCAAUUUGAAACAUAGAAUUAAGAUGUAACUUUGCUCACACAACAUUUGAAAUCUCUCCCAACCCCAAUGACUUAUCCUCAGCUUUGAACUUCUCAUACCGAGUGUGUAGUACCUUUGACACUGGAGCCUCCUCUACAUGAUCUAAAUCAUGUUGUUGAAUUACAAGCACAGAAGGCACAACAUCAUGCCUUGAUGACGCCAAAAUGUCUCCAAUUGGCCCCAACUCCGCGUGCUCGGCCUGGCGGUCCGCCAGUUCCGCCACCAUAGUCGAUGGAAACCGACCUUUUCCAACAAUAAUAAGGUCAUAAUCUCUGCUUCUUCCUAUCGCUAAUACACCUUCUACGAUGUUGCCAGUUACCUUCUCUAUGUACACUACCAUUCCAUCACAUUUGCUUCGAAAUUCUGCUAAUGCUUUUUCAUCUAAUUCCUUCUCCUUCUUAUGGUUCAUUUUUGCAGUGGAGAAGCGGUAACUCUGUUCAGCUUCAGUAAUCUCGGAUGGAGAAGAGAGUCGUAAGAAAACGGGUUUACUCUGCAACCCUUCUUUUUCCACAAACCUCACAACACUAACUUCAGUGGUCGGGUGUUCAGCCAUUCUGCCACCCAACUCCAACACCUCACGAUCAUCUGGCCCACCAAAGAAUAUCACACAUAUCUUUUGAGCUACAACUGUGCUAGGUCCUGGAGUUUGAGCUACAUUUCCAAAUCCACGGUCCACAAAAAGGGCCACCGUACAAGGCGCUUGCUUUUGUACCCUCUGAUUAACCCCUCUCCAUCCAUGACCCACAUUCUCCAUUGACUUAUCUCCCUCCCCUCUCCACUGUUUAUGGAAAGGCAAAACAAUCAUGGUGACCCUUUUGGUCUCGGCUACGUGGCAAAUAUCCUCAUGCAUGGUUGAUAAAGGGGAGAUUACAGUUGUGGGUCGGACAGAAACCCGACCCAAUUGACUAUAGGUCUGGAAUGCUCCUGCAACUCGAUCAUGCCAUCCACCACGGCGGAGACGAUUGAUGAAGGGUAACCCAUUUUUCCUCAAGCGUUGAACCAUGAUGAUGGAUGAGGAUCGUUCAGUGAGUUGGACGAGGUGCAUGACGAAGAGUUUGAGUCGGGAUUUGUUGGUGCUUCUGGUUGAUUCGAUGAGGUUGACGAGUAAGGGUACGUUUCCUGGACCAUGAAGACAUGCAAGAAUGCGAAGCUCGUCAUUGGUAGUGGAUAAGUCGCGGAGCUUACGGUGGAUGCGAGUGGAGGCGCCACCACGAGCUGGUUUAUAGAUGGCCAUGACUGUUGGAGUUGUGAUGAAGGUGGUGAAUAGUGCCAUUAACACCAGAAUUGCAAAUGCCUCAUCAUUUAGCACCUUCUUCUCCUUGCCAAUGUUGAGAACAAUAAGUUCCACCAAUCCUUUGGUAUUCAUCAAGAAACCAAGCGUCAGCGACUCCCUCGCCGGAAUCAUAAACAUCAUCGCCACCGCAAACGUUCCUAUAAUCUUCCCAGCACACGCCGUCGUUAUAACCAGAGCCAGAAGCCCCCACGCCCUGCCGCCGCGAAUCGAAGCCACGUUGGUCUUCAAUCCACUCGAUGCAAAGUAAAGCGGAAGAAGCAAACAUGACACGAAAUCUUCAAUCCUCUCUGUCAAUCUGUCCGCGAAGUCUCCUUCUUUCGAAAUCGUUAAUCCGAAAACAAAUGCUCCGAAAAUUGAAUGGAUUCCUAUAAUGUCAGUCAUGAACCCUGAUACCAUUACUCCAGCUAAGGUCAAGCAUAUAUAAGCUUCAUCGACAACGUCAUGUUCUGGGGAGCACCUGCCGGCGAUCCAUUUCAUGGCGGGUCGAAUCACAACUAACAUAAAAACAACGAAGGCAACACCAGAAACAAGUACCCAGAUCGAUACUAAUGGACUCUUUUGUUCACCACCAGCGCCAUCACCGGCAAGAGCAACGGCGAGAGCAAGCAAGAUCCAAGCAGCGACGUCAUUGAAUGCAGCUGCAGCCAUGGCAAUCUCGCCUAUCUGAGUAGUCAGCAGUUUCAGCUCUGCUAGAAUGCGAGCUAGAACAGGGAAAGCUGUGAUGGAAAGAGCGACUCCCAUGAAGACUAAGAACUGACCAUACCCAACUUGAUCUUCUCCUUCAAUUGUUUGUCGAAGGACAAAGGCUAUACCUAUACCGCAGACGAAAGGAAGAGAUAUUCCGGCGAAAGCUAUGCCUAAAGCACGCUUGCCACAGCGGCGAAUGGAUGACAAAUCGAGUUCGAGACCAACAAGAAAAAGAAAGAAGAGAAGGCCAACACUUGCUACCGAUUCGAGUAUUGGAAUGCUCCAUGUAGGGAAAAUCCGGUUCAAGUAGCCUUUGUUCCGGCCAAAAGCCGAUGGCCCCAGCAGAAUCCCACCCUGCAAAUGACACAAAAUUAUUAUUAUUAUUAUUGCUAUCGAGGUAUUGAAAAGCUUAAGGAAGGCCUAUCAAUUCGAUUCACAACAACUUUAACAACAAUUAUUGAAAUUCAAAUUCAAGACGGGUGCAUCAAAAAUUGAAUCCUUAAUUGUUGAGACUAUCCGCUGUAACACAAAAUCAUUAACACACUCUUGGAAGAAAAGUAAGAAGAAGAAGCCAGAUAGUGCAUGCAUAUUAAUAUACGUGCAAGAGAAAUGGAAGAACAUACAACAAUCUCAGCGAUGACUUUUGGUUGGCGGAGAGGCUUGAGGACGAAAGCAAAAAUGCGGCUGACUACUAUUAUCAAGGUGGUUUGAACUAUCAAUAAUGGGAAGGCAAAGUUAAGGGGAUUGUCUCCUUGCCAGGCCCCAUUUGAUGAGGUUUUAAUGGAAGUUAUGUUCAUUGGCAUGAUUGUUAAUUUUGGAGAUUAAUUUUGCAUAACAAUUUCCUGUCAUCAAAAGAAUAAUCUAGCUAUUGCAGAAUAUUGAAGAUGAUAAUAAAAGAAUGGACGUGGAGAGGCUGUCAUUGCUGCUUAAUUGUCAGCUCUUGUU